UGCCAGCCGCCGCGGUAAUACGGAGGGUGCAAGCGUUAAUCGGAAUUACUGGGCGUAAAGCGCGCGUAGGUGGUGAAGUCAGUCAGAUGUGAAAGCCCUGGGCUCAACCUGGGAACUGCAUCUGAUACUGCUUGACUAGAGUAUGGUAGAGGGGUGUGGAAUUUCCUGUGUAGCGGUGAAAUGCGUAGAUAUAGGAAGGAACACCAGUGGCGAAGGCGACACCCUGGACCAAUACUGACACUGAGAUACGAAAGCUAGGGGAGCAAAGGGGAUUAGAUA
rnacentral:rRNA from 1 species